rnacentral:rRNA from 1 species
UAAUUAAAAAUCUUUCCGUCGGUAGCAGAACGUUCAACAAAAUACUUUUAAUGGUAACAAAUAAUUGAAUUGAGACUGCUGACAUUAGUAACAAUAAAUAUUAAUAAAUAUGGCCGAAAGUCUAAGGGUUUUUCUAGUGAUAACGGUUAUUAAUAUAUCAGCUAAUCCCUAAACAAACCUGGGACCCUAAUUGGGUUAAUUCCGACCCG